rnacentral:rRNA from 1 species
ACUCCUACGGGAGGCAGCAGUGGGGAAUUUUGGACAAUGGGGGCGAACCCUGAUCCAGCAAUGCCGCGUGAGUGAAGAAGGCCCUCCGGGUUGUAAAGCUCUUUUGUUCAGGGAAGAAACGGUGAUCUCUAAUAUAGAUUGCUAAUGACGGUACCUGAAGAAUAAGCACCGGCUAACUACGUGCCAGCAGCCGCGGUAAUACGUAGGGGUGCAAGCGUUAAUCGGAAUUACUGGGCGUAAAGCGUGCGCAGGCGGUUUUGUAAGUCUGAUGUGAAAUCCCCGGGGCUCAACCUGGGGAACUGCAUUGGAGACUGCAAGGCUAGAGUGUGUCAGAGGGGGUAGAAUUCCACGUGUAGCAGUGAAAUGCGUAGAGAUGUGGAGGAAUACCGAUGGCGAAGGCAGCCCCCCUGGGAUAACACUGACGCUCAUGCACGAAAGCGUGGGGAGCAAACAGGAUUAGAUACCCUGGUAGCGACUGA